UUACCUAACUGGUUUCAGUCUUGCCACGAAUCAAACAAGCGACAAAUAUAGAUUAAAAAAUACGGCAUCGGGAAGGGGCAUUGAACGCAGCACAUGAACAAACACGCCGCCCACCCGCCCUUGGUCGUGCUGCGUUCACAUGUAAAUCGGAAUUGCAGCUUUUCUCUGUGAGACCGCAACAGGAACGCAUUUCUAAAACAUCGGGUCUAACGAGGGAAGUCGUUAUUCUACUUUCCGAAGGGCAAAUUUCUCUCUUUCGACUGUCUGUGGCAAAGUUCUGGCAGGGGGUUGCUGGCUGGCUGGCUGGAUGGAUGGAUGGCUUCUCACUGGCAGACUACACAGACUCACCCAACAACUUGAGGUGUAAACGGGGCGAAUCCGCUGGAGCAAACGAUCGUCUCUGCUGCCUGCCGGAUGUCACGCUGUGUUAACGUUCAACUUUUUUUUCCUCCCAUCAACAAACACGUGUCUUCUUUGACACUUUUGGGACGCGAAAGCAAGCAAGCAAAAUCCACUGCAGCAUUCAGCGGAGAGGAG